UACGGAGGGGGCUAGCGUUGUUCGGAAUUACUGGGCGUAAAGCGCGCGUAGGCGGACCUGCAAGUCGGGGGUGAAAUCCUGGAGCUCAACUCCAGAACUGCCUUCGAUACUGGAGAGCUCGAGUCCGGGAGAGGUGAGUGGAACUGCGAGUGUAGAGGUGAAAUUCGUAGAUAUUCGCAAGAACACCAGUGGCGAAGGCGGCUCACUGGCCCGAUACUGACGCUGAGGCACGAAAGCGUGGGGAGCAAACAGGG
rnacentral:rRNA from 1 species